GCGGGCCGGCGGAAGCGGCGAGCUCAGGGCGGAGCGCUGCGGCGGCGGCGGCGGCUGCGGAGGAGGCGCCGAAGGGCGCGGUCACGUGCGUUCGCUGCUCUCUGCUAUGGCCUGGGAAAGCAGUGGAAGAUGGCCCAAGUCCUUGGGCCCCUGCACCCACGUGGGAGACCCAGAAGAAGCUCUUGGCUCCUGGUUUCAGAUUGGCUUAGCUCCACCCAUUGCAGCCAUCUAUGGAGUGAACCAGCAGAUGGAAGACCUCUCUCUCUCUCUCUCUCUCUGCCUCUGCCUCUGCCUCUCUGCCUUUCAAAUAAAUAAAUACAUCAUAAAAAAGCUCUCUGCUGUGGCCUGGGAUAGCAGUAGAAGAUGGCCCAAGUCCUGGGGCUCCUGCACCCGCGUGGGAGACCCAGAAGCUCCUGGCUCCUGGCUUCAGAUCGGCACAGCUCCGGCCAUUGCGGCAUCUGGGGAGUGAACCAGCGGAUGGAAGAGCUCUCUCUCUCUCUCUGUCUCUACCUCUCUCUGUAACUCUGUCUUUCAAAUAAAUAAAAUAAACAUUUUUUAAAAAAGAAAUAUGUGCAUAUAUAUAACAUAGCAACACAAAAUACAAAGCACAAAUCUUCAGAAAGACAACUUUUAGAAAGUUAUAGUAAAAUACAUCACACAUCACUAUCAGACUGUGAAAGAAAGUAAACAAAAUUAGGAAUGGGUUGAACAGAAUUAACAUGGCAUAAAAAACGUAUUCUAGGGGCUGGCACUGAACUUAGUAGGUUAAGCAUCCACUGGAAGUGCCAGCAUCCCAUAUGUGUGCUGGUUCAUGUUCUGGCUGCUCCUCUUCCAGUCCAGCUCCCUGCUGAUGGCCUGGGAGCAGUAGAAGAUGGCCCAAGUGCUUGGGCCCUUGCACCCAUGUGAGAGAAGCUCCAGGCUCCUAGAUUCAGAUCGGCCCAGCUGCACAGCUGCAGCCAUUGUGGCCAUUUGGAGAAUGAACCAGUGGAUGGAAGAUCUCUCUUUCCCUCUCACUCUUUCUCUCUCUCUCUCUCUCUCUCUCUCUCUAUCUCUCCCCCCCCACCCGUCUGUAACUCUCCCUCUCAAGUAAAUAAAUCUUAAAAAAAAUAUUCUAAGUUCUGCACACACACAAAUAUAUAUAUAUACACACACACACACACACUAAGGGGUACUUGAAAAAUUUCAUGGAGGAGUCCGUGCUGUGGCAUAGUGGGUAAAGUCAUCAUCCCAUAUGGGUUAAGUUUGAGUCCUGGCUGCUCCAAUUCUGAUCCAGGUCCCUGCUAAUUUGCCUGGGAGAGCAGUGGAGAAUGGCCCAAGUCCUUGGAUCCCUGCACCCACAUGGGAGACUGGGAAAAAGCUCCUGGCUCCUGGUUUCAGUCUGGCACAUCUCUGGCAGUUGCAGCCAUUUAGGGAGUGAACCAGAGGAUGGAAGAUUCUCUCUCUGCCUUUCAAAUACAUAAAUAAAUAUUUUUUUAAAAGUUCAUGGAAAAUCCAAUUAAAGAAAUUUAUUUCAGUGCAAAGAAAUUUUUAAAUCCAUGCAUAAUCGUCUUGUAAUACAUACUUUUCAUGAACUUUUAAAAGACCUUCUUAUACAUAAACCCCCUCUCCAAAUAUCCCUGAAACAUUUACAAAAGCUUUUUGGGGGGCCAGUGUUGUGGCAUUAAAGGGUUAAGCUGCUGCCUGUGAUACUGACAUACCAUGUGGGUGCCAGUUCACGCCCUGGCUGCUCCACUUCUGAUCCAGCUCUCUGCUGUGGCCUGGGAGGACAGUAGAAGAUGGCCCAAGUCCUUGGGCUCCUGCACCCACGUGGGAGACCUGGAAGAAGCUCCUGGCUCCUGGCUUCAGAUCGGUUCAGCUCCACCCAUUGUGGCCAUUUGGGGAGUGAACCAUCGGAUGGAAGACCUGUCUCUCUGCCUCUCCUUCUCUGUGUAACUCUGACCUUCAAAUAAAUAAAUCUUUAAAAAAAAUACAACACUGCCCUGGAAUCACAGGCUGCAUUCAAAUCUCACUAUCUCAUGAGCUCUCUUACCUUCCUGGCCCACAUUGAAUCCUGGACCCUGUGUUCAUUUUUUGUUAUCUUUAUAGUCUUCUGAAGUCUGUAGCAUUUCCUUGUUCCAUCCUUCAUGACCAUUGUUUUUCUCUUCCUUAUUAAACUAUUUUUUUUAAAUUAGCAUAGUAAAAUUGACUUUAUAUUCCAAUUUUUUAAAUUAUUUGAAAAAUUGACAAAGUGGGAGAUGAUAUAGAUGGGGUGGGGGAGAGAGAGAGACAGAGAGAGAGACAGAGAGAAUGAGAGAUUUUCUAGCCACUAGUUCACUCCCUAAAUGACCACAAUGGCCAGGGCUGGACCAGGCCAAAGCCAGGAGCCAGGAACUCCAUCCUGGUCUCCCAUGUGGGUGGCAGGGGCCUAAGCACUUGAAACAUCAUGCAGUGUCUCCCAGGCACAUUAACAGGAAGCUGGAUUGGAAGUGGAGCAGCUGGGACUAGAACCAGCAUUUCUAUAUGGGAUGCAGGCAUCAGGAAUAGUGGCUUAACUCACCAUGCCACAACUCCAGCCCCUAUAAAUAUGUGUAGAUGUAUGUGUAAUCCCACCACAAGAAAGACAUACAACACUUCCUUCACUCCUCCAACCCAAAGAAUGUCCUGUGACAGAUGCAUUUGGGAGGACACUAAUAUUCAGGGCAGAACUUAAAAUACGCUACCUUUUCAGGCAGACUUCUUUGAUUUAGCACAAUGCCUUUCAGAUUCAUCAAAGGUGCUGCAUACAGCAACAAUGUGGUAUAACUAUUUAUAUACACACAUACAUUUUUAGAGAUUUAUUUAAAAGGUAGAGUGACAGAGACAGAGACUCUCCAUUCGCUGGUUCAUUCCCCCAAACAACCACAGUGGUCUGGUCUACACCAAAGCCAGGAGCUGGGAAUUCUAAUUGGGUCUCCAUGUAGGUGCUGGAGCCCAAGCACUAGGGCCGUCUUCCACUGCUUUCCCAGGUGCAUUAGCAGGGAGCUGGAUCAGAAGCUGAGCAUCUGGGACUCGAACUGGCACCCAUAUGGGAUGCCAGCAUCACAGUCCCUAAUGUUGAGAUAAAAAUUAUAUACUUUUUAAAAAAUAUUUAUGUAUUUAUUUGAAAGUCAGAGUUACACAGAGAGAGAAGGAAAGGCAGAGAGAGAGAGAGAGAGGUCUUCCAUUUGCCUGCUCGCUCCCCAGAUGACCGCAACGGCUGGAGCUGUGCCAAUCCGAAGCCAGGAACCAGGAGAUUCUUCCAGGUCUCCCAUGCUGGUGCAGGGGCCCAAGGACUUGGGCCAUCUUCCACUGCUUUCCCAGGCCAUAGCAGAGAGCUGGAUUGGAAGUGGAGCAGCCGGGACUCGAAUCGGCGCCCAUAUGGAAGACCCCUCUCUCUCUCUCUAACUCUUUCAAAUAAAUAAAUAUUAAAAAAAAAAAAAAGAGUGCCAGUUACUUUACACCCUGACCUGCACACAGCAGGGUCUUUUUGGUUUUUAUUUUUAAUUUCAGCUAUCCUGAAAAUGACAAAACAGAGGGGCAGGUGUUUAGCAUGGUGGUUACGAUAUUACGAGGGAUACCCACAUCCCCUCUUGAAGUCCCUGCUCUCCUUGCAAUCAAGUCUUCUGCCAGUGUCCACCCUGGGAGGCAGCAGAUGAUGGCUCCAGUACUGGGUUCCUCCUCAUGUUUUCUUCUGAGAGUUCGAUAGUCUUACAUGUGGAUCCAUUUUGCACACGAGGCUUAGGCUGAGGUUCAUUGUCUCGCCUACGGAGGCCCAUUGCUCCGGUACCCCGGGUCACAAAGACAAUCCUUUCUGCGCUCAAUUACUUUGGUGGCGUAAUAAAAGCUGCAGUCUGCAGGAGGUGACGUCAGGCAACACGACCGAAUCGGAAGCUCCAGGAAUCUGUCCAUGGAAACAACUGAACUGAUAGCAACUGCCUGGAGCAGUGAUUUUGGAACACUCUGGAAUCUGGCAACGGCCAGGGCAGAGCUGGGGAGAGAGGCAGGUCAAUGUCAAUGGAGCUCUUUUUUUUUUUUUUUAAAGAUUUAUUUAUUUGAGAGGCAGAAGUAAUCUUCUGUCCGCUGCCUCACUCUCCAAAUGGCCACAACAACCGGAGCUGGGACUGUCCAAAACCAGGAGCCAGGAGCUUCUUCCAGGUCUCCUACAUGGGUGCAGGGCCCCAAGCACUUGGACCAUCUUCCGCUGCUUUCCCGGCCAUAGCAGAGAGCUGGAUCAGGAAUGGAGCAGCCAGGUCUCGAACUGGUGCCUAUAUAGGCUGGCGGCUCUGCAGGCAGAGGAUUAACCUGCCACGCCACAACGCUCUCCCCUGGAGUUGCGUUUCUCACACAGCAGUGGCUGCCUUCCCUUAUCCACUGUGGCCAAAGGUUGUGGGGACUGCAAUCCCCACUCCGGUGAACAAGAAAAGCACCUGUCUUCCAAAAAUCAGGGUUUGAUCACCAACAGAUCAGCCCUCAUCUCAACACUCAUGGGUAGAAACAGUGUCCAGACCACAAGAGGAUUUAAAGAGAUAGGAUCGAUUCACUUUUCCCCUCUUGGGAGCCAUUCAUUUCAGUCUCAUCAAGUCACUGGCUGAGCCCAGAGAACAUGGAAGAGAUUUUUCACUGAAAAUACACCAGCUGGGGCAGGCGCUGUGGCGUAGCAGGUAAAGCCACCGCCCUCAGUGCUGGAGUCCCACACGGGAUCUGGUUUGAGUCCCGGCUGCUCCACUUCUGAUCCAGCUCUCUGCUAUGUCCUGGGAAAGCAGAAGAAGAUGGCCCAAGUCCUUGUGUCUCUACCCACAUGGGAGACCUGGAAGAAGCUCUUGGCUUCUGGCUUUGGAUAGGCACAGCUCCUGCCAUUGUGGCCAUCUGGGGAGUGAACCAGUGGAUGAAAGAUCUCUCUCUCUCUCUCUCUCUCUCUCUCUCUGUAACUCUACCUUUCAAAUAAAUAAAUCUUUUAAAAAAUUGAAAGGAAAAAGAUGCUAUUGGGACGCCUGUGUCCCACGGCAGAUAGCCCAGGCUGGGCUCUUGGCUCCAUCUCCUGUGACCAGCUUCCUGCUAAUUCCUGCCCUGGAAGGCACUGGUGAUGGUUCAAGUGGUUGGGAUCCUGCAUAGGACUGAAUUGAAAUCAGGAGCCUGGAAGUGCAUCCAGGUCUCCCAUGUCGGCGGCAGGGGCCCAAGCAUUGGGCCACCUUCCGUUGCUUUCCCAGACGCAUUAGGGGGGAGCUGAAUUGGAAGUGGAGCAGCUGGGACUUGAACUGGGUUGCUGGAGUCACAGGUGGCUACUUAACCUGCUGUGCCACCCAGACAGAGACAGAAACAGACAGUAAUCUUCCAUCUGCUGGUUUACUCCCCAUAUGCCCACAAUAGCCAGGGCUGGACCAGGCUGAAGCCAGGAGCCUGAAAUUCAACCUGAGUUUCCUACAUGUGUGGCAGGGACUCAAGUAUUUGAGCUCAUAUCCUGUCCCCCAAGGAUAUGUAUUAGUAGGAAGCUAGAGUCGACAUUCAAUUUUCUUCUCAUUUCAACAUAAAUUAAAAUAGAGCUGUAAAAGUACUGGGUGCCAAGGGGGCUCUGUCUCAGCCUGCAUCCAUGCGGAGACCCAGGCCAUGCGUGGCUGGCUGGAGGCCACAGACCCGAUGCUGUGUCCUUCCUAGAGUAUCACGUAGGCAGGCACAAGGUGAUGAGUUGCUGAUGGUGCUAACCACAGUCCCGGAGUCACCCUGUGUCCACCAGAUUUUUCCAUCCUGAAGCUGUUGUUGGCGUGAGUGUUUGGGCUCACAGUGAAGGCGCCUGCAUCCCCCUCUGAAAUGCCAGGGUUCCACUCCCAGCUCUGGCUCCUGACUCCAGUUUCCCACCAAGGCAGACUCUGGCAGGCAGCAUGAUCUCCCUGCCAUGUGGGAGACCUGGAUUGGGUUCUCAGCUCCUGGCCCUGCCCCAGCCUCAGCAAUGGUGGCCAUCUGGGGAGUGAACAAGCAGAUGGGAACUUUGUCUCUCUGCCUCUCAAAUAAAUAAUAAAAACUAUUCUAAAAAGAUACAAUGUUCUCUUUUGCACUGGAUUAAGUAGGAAGAUGCUUCAAAAGGUUUACGGAAAAUGGAAUUAAAAUUUAAAUUUUUGGCUGGCAUUGUGGCGUAGGUUAAGCCACCGUCUGCAGUGUGGGCAAUCCCACUUGGGCGCUGGUUUGAGUCCUGGCUGCUCCACUUCAGAUCCAGCUCCUAGCUAAUGUGCCUGGGAAAGCAGUGGAGGAUGGCCCAAGUGCUUGGGCCCCUACACCCACAUGGGAGACCUGGAAAAAAACUCCUGGCUCCUGGCUUCAGUGGCCACUUUGAGAGUGAACCAGAAGAUGGAAGAUUUCUCUUUCUCCCCUCUCUCUGUAACUCUGCCUUUCACAUAAGUAUAACAAGUGUUUUAAAAAAAAAAAGAAAAACAAAUUUAUGGGCUGGUACUGUGGCUCAGUGAGUUAAGCUAUUGUUUACAAUGUCAGCAUCUCAUACUGGAAUGCUGAUUUGAGUGCUACCUACUCCACUUCCUGCUAAUGUGUUUGGAAAGGCAGUGGAAGCUUGGGCCCCUGCUACCCAUGUGGGAGACCAGGAUGGAGUGCCUGGCUCCUGGCUUCAGCCUGGCCCAGACCUGGCCAUUUGGGGAGUGAACCAGUGAAUGGAAGAGUUCUCUGUCACUCUUUCAAAUAAACAAACCUUAAAAUAUAUGCAUGUGUGUAUCUCCCCAAAUGGAAAUCCAUGCAAGAUUUUUUCAUAAUAUGGAUAUCCCAUAAAAUUUUUAAGACCCUGCAUAUUCUGUGGAGGGAUCUUUGUGAAUAUGCCAAUGCUCCAGCUGUCCAUUUUAUUUACUUAUAAAAAUACAAAAAUAAAAUAAAUUUAUAAAGACACAUACGUGCGUGCGCACACACACACACACAUGCACACACACAGAGAAAGCUCCCAUCUGCUGAUUCACUCCCAAGAUGCCCACAGAAGCCAGGAGAGCUAGCCAAGUCUCCUCUGCGGGUGGCGGUAACUCAGCUCCCUGAGCCAUCACUGCUGCUUCGCUGGGUGCACACUGGGAGGAAGCCGGAGUUGGGAGGCGGAGGUGGUCUCUCCUCCUGAUGGGCACGGGGCAGGAGUGCGACAGAUUUUGUGGAAGCCAGUAUUUGAAAAUACUCCCUAGAUUUUGCAAUAUUCUGUUAUCAAACCUCCACCCAGCAGCCUGGGUUCCGAUGAAUCCACAGUUCUGCCGGGUCCAACCCACUGCCGUGACACCUCCCAAAUGGCGCUUUCUCGGUUGCGUCACCCCUUCUACAGCCACCGGGCGCCCUGCAGCGUGAGGGAGAGCUUUCUGCCUCUCCAGUCCGUAAGGACUCGUGGGUGUCUGUGUUUGUCUUUAUGUUGAUGCUCCAGCUGUCCCAGACUUGAUCAGUGACAGUCCCUUCAGGCUCCUGUGUGUGUGUGUGUGUGUGCCAAAGCAUUUAUGGAAAAUGCAGUAUCUUUCAGUUUUGUUUUCUCACACACACACACACAUAUGAAGAGUCUUCAAAGAAGCUCAUGGAUGGGCUGGCGCUGUGACAUAGUGGAUAUGGCUGCUGCCUGCAGUGCCAGCAUCCCAUCUGGGCGCCGGUUCGAGUCUCAGCUGCUCCACUUCUGAUCCACUCCUUGCUAAUGCACCUAGGAAAGCAGAAGAUGGCCCAAGUCCCUGGGCCCCUGCACCCACAUGGGAGACCUGGAGGAAGCUCCUGGCUCCUGGCUCCUGGCUCCUGGCUCCUGGCUUUGGAUCAGCACAACUCCGGCCGUUGCUGCCAACUGGGGAGUGAACCUGCAGAUGGAAGACCUCUCUCUCUCCCUCUGCCUCUCCUUCUCUCUGUGUAUAACUCUAACUUUCAAGUAAAAUAAAUAAAAUAUUAAAAAAAAAAAGACCUGGCUUCUCUACUUUUGAUCCAGCUCCCAACUAAUGUGCCCGGGAAAAAUGUGGACGAUGGCCCAAAUGCUGGGUCCUGUUGCCUGCAUGGGAGAUAGAGAUGCAGUUUCUGGUGCCUGGUUGCGGCCUGGCCCAGUCCUGGUUGCGGUGGGCAGUUGGGGAGUAAACCAGGGAUAGAAGAGCUCUGUCUUCCCUCUCUGUUGCUCUGCCUGUUCAAGUAAACAAAUAAAUCUUAAAAACAAACAGCUCCCAUUCACUGGUUCACUGCCCAGAUGCCCUCAACGGCCUGGGCUGAAGCUGGGAGCUGGGAGCUAAACCCAGGCCUCCCACAUGGUGGCAUGAACCCAGGUCCUUGAACCAUCAUCAUCGUCGCCAGCAGGAAUCAGGGGUCAAGAGUGGAGCCAAGUAUCGAACCCAAGGACUCUGAGGGCGGACAUGGGUGUUUUUAUUUCUAGGCCAAAUGCCAGCAAACUCUGUGCAGUGUCCACAUAUACAGAGAGGGGGAGGGAGAUGAGAGAGAGAGUGAAGUCACACCAGCAUCCUCAGUUCCUUGGGGCUCCAUCUAGCUUUCUCCUUGCUGCAUUUGCAAUUUCCCUCCCCAGCACUGAGAAGCCUGGCUUCCAUUACCCUCAAUAUAUUGGGCUCCAUUUUCCAACUACACCAGCUGCCUCCUUGGCUCCCAGCCUGUUGGCACCUCAGAAGGAAGAGAUGGCAGAGGGAGGGAGGUGAGGGGACAGGAGCAGGAGGUGGGUGAAAGUGCUGUGCAGCCUGGCCCUCCACCCUACCCUGACCUCCUUUCUGCUUGGUUCCGCCCACCACCCACCACUCACCAAGCCUUGCAGCCUCAAGCAGCCCUGGGCUCUCCCUGCCCCAGCCCCUUCUUGGGCACACUCAUUCCCUCAGCUUCUAAGAGGGCUUCCUGCCCUUUUUCCCUCCCUCCCUCCUUUUUGUUCUUUAAAAUUUAUUUAUUUAAACAGCAGAGUUACAGAAAGAAGGGGAAGAGACAAAGACAGAAAUCUUCCAUCUGCUGGUUCCCUCCCCAAAUGGCUGCAAUGCCAGAGCUGAGCCAGGAACUUCAUCUGGGUCUCAGGUGUGGGUGGCAGGGACCCAAGUCCUGGGGCCAUCAUCUGCUGCCUUCCCAGGUGCCUUAGCAGGGAGCUGCAUCAGAAGUGGAGCAGCAGGGCUGGUACUGUGGCAUAGCGGGGUUAAACUGCCACCUGUGGUGCCAUCAUCCCAUAUGGGUGCCAGUUUGAGUCCUGGCUGCUCUACUUCUGAUCCGGUUCCCUGCUAAUAUGCAUGGGAAAGCAGUAGAAGAUGGCCCAAGUGCUUGGGGCCCUGCAGCUCUACGGGAGACCUGGAAGAAGCUCCUGGCUUUGGCUCAGCUCAGCUCCAGCCGUUACGUUUGGGGAGUGAUCCAGUGGACAGAAGAUCUUUCUCUCUGUCUCUACCUCUCUGUCUAUAACUCUGCCUCCCAAAAUAAAUAAAAAAUAUUUUUUAAAAAGUUUAUUUAUUUACAUUUACUUAAAAGGCAAAGUGACAGAGAAAGAGAGAAAUUUCCCAUCUGCUGGUUCAAUUCCCCAAAUACCCACAACAACCAGAGGUAGGCCAGGCUGAAGCCAGGAGCCAGAAACCCCAUCCAGGUCUCCCAUGUGGGUGGCAGAGACCCAAUUACUUGGCCCGUCACCUGCUGCGGCCAGGGUGUGCAUUAGCAGGGAGCUGGGAUCUGAAGAGGGGGAGCCAGGAUUGAAACCAGCACUCAAUAUGAGAGAUGGGAGUGCCAAGUGGUGACUUCACCCCCUGUGCCAAAUGCCCCCACCCCAAUGUGUUAAGGAUGCCCGUGGAGGGCACGGGGAGGAAGGGGAGCCAUUUGGCAGUUUGAUAUUAUUUCUACCAUGUCAUCCCUGAGCUUAUAACACCCAAGUCUCAGAUGCUCAAAUCUUAGUAAAGGAAAAAAUAAAAAUAAAAAAAGAGGGUGGAGAGGUGCAUGGUGACCUCCACGGGAGCUCCAGGGGAGACAGGCCACACUUCUCCCUCCUGCAAACAACACUGCUGCAGCUCUGCGGCCCAGCAGUGGGGGGUCGGGGGUGGCCUUGGGUCCAGCAAGAGGGGCCAACCCCAAGGUCAGGUGUGUGCACUGCAUCCCAGAACCUCAGAGGUGGUGGAGGCAAGAGAAGAAAAAAAACAAAAACCAGCCACGGCUCCCCCCAGGCCUAACCCUGGGGAAGCUACCAUCAGCACGGAGGGGUGCCCAAGGCCAUGGAAGUUGGCAGAGCUGUGUUCCAGGCCAGGUCUUUGCCUUCUGCCCCUCUGGCUGCCUGCAGAUGGAGGAGUCCACCGUGGCCUUGCCCACCUUGGUGAAGCACGAGUUUCACCUGGUGGACGUGAUGGACUCACGUGGACACCACCUCGGGGGCAGGCCCUGGGCGCAGGACGGACAGACGAAGAGAAGGUGGCCCCUGUUUUGUUUAUUCCUCGGUUGUGGAGGCCGGGCAGUCAGGAGUGUGUGGCCGGCAUCCAGGGAGGGCUCCUCGUGAGCUUGGGUCCAGUGGGGAGCUGGAUCUGAAGUGGAGCAUCUGGGACUCAAGGUGGUGCUACCAUAUGGGAUGCCGGCAGCGCAAGCAGCAGCUUAACCCGCUGCGCCACUAGGCUGGCCCAUUUCGCUAUUAUGCUUGCUAGCUCAUCUCUGACAUCCAUAUUCUGUGUAUCGUUGGCUUCCUUUUUGUUUGUUUAUUUUUGGAAAUGGAAUAAAAGAUAAGUUGGGGGGGGCGGGUGCUGUGGAGUAGUUGGUAAAGCCUCUGCCUGCAGCACUGGCAUUCUAUAUGGGCACCGGUUCAAGACCUGGCUGCUCCUUUUCCAAUCCAGCUCCCCGCUAAUGCGCCUAGCAAAGCAGCAGAAGGCGGCCCAAGCCCUUGAGCCCCUGCACUCAUGUGGGAGACCCGGAAGAAGCUCUGGGCCCCUGGCUUUGGAUUGGCCCAGUUCUGGCUGUUUAGGCCAUUUGGGGAGUGAACCAGUGGAUGGAAGACCUCUCUCUCUGUUUCUCCCUUUGUCUGCCUGUAACUGCCUCUCAAAUAAUAAAUCUUUAAAAAGAAAAGAUAAGCUGGUUUUGGUGUAAAAAAUUGAAAUCCACAUAUAGUUUUUUAAGAAUACAUUUCUUCCAUGAUUUUUUUUUUUUUUUUGACAGACUGGACAGUGAGAGAGACAGAAAGAAAGGUCUUCCUUUGCCGUUGGUUCACCCUCCAAUGGCCGCCGCAGCCGGCGCGCUGCGGUUGGCGCACCGCGCUGAUCUGAUGGCAGGAGCCAGGAGCCAGGUGCUUUUCCUGGUCUCCCAUGGGGUGCAGGGCCCAAGCACUUGGGCCAUCCUCCACUGCACUCCCUGGCCACAGCAGAGGGCUGGCCUGGAAGAGGGGCAACCGGGACAGAAUCCGGCGCCCCGACUGGGACUAGAACCCGGUGUGCCGGCGCCGCUAGGCGGAGGAUUAGCCUAGUGAGCCGCGGCACCGGCCUCUUCCAUGAUUUUUUU